GACACGAUGAGCUGAUAGGUGAAGAGGAGGACGCUGCCAUUGGCGUAACGUGAAUCACCCAGAGAGGGGAAGUUGACCGACACCAGCAGCAGCAGCAGCAGAGAGCGAUGAGGAGAGCCGCCGGCCUCAUCCUGAAGGGUUCACAGAUUUACCUGCAGCUUCACCUGAACCAGCUGCACCUGAACCUGCUGCACCUGAACCAGCUGCACCUGAACCUGCAGCACCUGCAGACAAGAAGAAAAUCACUUCAAAUCAUAAAGACCCUCUGCUUCCUGCAAUCUGCUUUAAACUGACCACCUGAGCAAAAAUCUGCUUAAAACACAGACUAACUGCUGGAUGUUGGGCCCCUCAGCUGUUGGUCUGCAGUAACUGUGGCCCCCGGACCGAUGCAGCUGAACAGUCCUGCUCUGAAGGUUUGAAACAUCAGGACAGAUGUUAUUAUUUACUGAACUCAAACUAAGAUGAUGUCAUCCAGCAGAACAUGAUGUUUCCUUCUGGAGAUGACGACAGAUUAUUCAGCUCAGGUUCUUAUAUUUUGGUUUAGAAACACUCGACAACCCUGGAUUUACACACGUUAUAAGACCACGUAUACUCUAAACUUAAAUUAUGAAAAGUCUCGUGACUUUUUGCUGCCUGAGCUCUUGUUGAGUUUUCUCCACGUCCAUGAGCUGAAAACAAACAAAACACUGUGGGCAAACACUGUUUUAAGCUGCUAGCUUAACCAUAACAAUAAAACUACUUUACUUCAGAAGUAUUUACAUCCUUAUAUUACUGCGUUUGGUCCACGGCCCUCAGACUGAGUUUAAUUUUGACCUCUCAGGGAAAAUGAUUAUUUAUCUAUUUAUUUAUUUAUUUAUUUAUUUAUUUGUUUGUUUGUUUGUUUUGGCCCUCUAAGGUUAAAUGUUUGCAUUUUGGCACUCUCAUGGAAAAUGUUGUUAAAAUUUGGCCCACUC